rnacentral:rRNA from 1 species
UGGGGAAUCUUGCGCAAUGGGCGAAAGCCUGACGCAGCAACGCCGCGUGCGGGAUGAAGGCCUUAGGGUCGUAAACCGCUUUCAGGGGGGACGAAGCUACCUGGGUUAAUAGCCCGUGGGGUGACGGUACCUUCAGAAGAAGCCCCGGCUAACUACGUGCCAGCAGCCGCGGUAAUACGUAGGGGGGGAGCGUUGUCCGGAAUCAUUGGGCGUAAAGCGCGUGUAGGCGGCUUGGCAAGUCUUGCGUGAAAUCCUGCGGCUCAACCGCAGGCCUGCGCGGGAUACUGCCUCGCUAGAGUCCGGAAGAGGAGAGUGGAAUUCCCAGUGUAGCGGUGGAAUGCGCAGAUAUUGGGAGGAACACCCGUGGCGAAGGCGGCUCUCUGGGACGGUACUGACGCUGAGACGCGAAAGCGUGGGGAGCGAACAG